GUCCUGGCCGUAAACGCUGCCAGCUAGGUGUUGCAUGUACUUGAGUACUUGCAGUAUCGGAGCGAAAGUAUUAAGCUGGCCGCCUGGGAAGUACGGUCGCAAGACUGAAACUUUAAGGAAUUGGCGGGGGAGCACCACAAGGGGUGCGGCGUGCGGUUUAAUUUAACUCAACGCAGAGCAUCUCACUAGAGGCGACGGCAGGAUGAAGGUCAGUCUGAAGGGCUUACCUGACGAGCCGAGAGGUAGUGCAUGGCCGCCGU
rnacentral:rRNA from 1 species